GAGGCAACCGCGGAGCGAGGCAGCGACGGAGACGACGACGAGGACGAGAAGGCGAUGGUGGGAUCUGCAGCAGCAGCAGCAGCAGCAGAACGCCGCAGUAGCGCCAUCUCUGGACUCGUGACAUCAAUUCUGAUAGUCCAGGUUCCACUCCUCGUCUCGGUUCUCACCAAUCUUCGAUGCCAUCAUCUUCACGCACCCGAAUUCCGCCAGCAUCUCACGCCCGUCCCCUCGCUCCAUUCUCCACGCCAUCGUUACGAAAUGGUGGCGUCAGUGUGGGGAGGUGGAUCGUUAAGCAGAGAGGUCCUUCAUGAAUCUCUGCAAGCGAAUAAGAGGCCUUCCUUCCCGACUUGAUUAUGAUUGCCGGCGGGGUGGAAGUUUUUGUGGGAUAAACAAUGAAACCUGUGUGCACAAUUUAUUAAUAUAUUUGCCGAUCUAUAAGCAGUUUGAUACGGAUACGCAUCUUUGGGACAGUGUUCCUGGUAUGCGUGGAGAGGACAAAGCAACUGAUCCGCUGCCAAUGUCGGCGGCUAGGAGAAAGAGGCAAAUUUUGGAGAGCGGUGGAGGCGCACGGAAGAAGGUCGCGAGCAGUCCCAACCGCGAGAAGCCUUACAGUUUAAGGAGCUUCUUGAAACCAAUGGGCAGAGGUACAGAGGCGGAUAUAUCCCCCGAGUUCGAUUCUGGAGAUGAAGUUGCAACACAACUUGUCGAGGUAAAAUGCAGUGAAAAGACGGGCACUCUCGUACUGGAUGAUACUGCUGAUGAAUACGAUCCCGCUUGCCCGAAGCGCAAGAGGUCUAUACGAUUGAGGGUUCAAAACCAAGUUAAUCCUACAAAAGAGCAGUCAAUCAAGGCAAAUAUGGGGAGCUGCAGCAAAAGAAGGAGAGCCGAUGAACUGAAUAAUACUGGGCAGGCCGACAGAGAGCCAUCAGUUAUUCUUGCAUGGAAGCACUGGUGCAUGUAUGAAGAUGAUGGUGAAGAAGUCGACGUAUUGGUUAACAAGCGGGAUGAGCGCCGGAGAUUGGAAAGACAAAAUGAACUUCCACGUCAGGUGCACACGCUGGAUGACGCAGCUGACAGCAUUAAAAUUGAAGCUCUAGAUAAUGUGAUGUCUUCAAAUAACGACGCUGUAAUUGCGGCAGGGCGUGCUAGAGAAGUAAAAGAUGUGACUCAAACGUCUUCGGAGCUACCUUUAGUCACGGAAAGUGGUGCCUCGCACGUGGACAAGAGGGAGGCGGUUCCGGGAGACCUUCGAUCUUUGACCGGAAGUGAAGACCGACCUGUGCAGACCAGAAGUGGAGAGGGACCAGAAGGAAGUAACACGCCCGCUGGAAUAGAUAGCAAGCUUAGGAUGUCGCCUGGCAGAAAAGGAACUAGUGACAGCGACAUUGAAAUUGCAAGUAGAUCCUUUCCUACUAGUGUCAAUCUGGAUGUGAGUGACAGGCAUGUUGGCAAUACGAGGAUCCACUCCAGGGCUGGAAGCACUCAAGCUCUCACAAUCGGAGACCAAACAGACCCGUCUUUCUUUUCUGCUCAAGAAGACUCCAUGGUCCUGGACACUAUUGCUGAAGGUGUUACCACAAAUUCUGUCGCUGAAAGAACAUCUCAUGAAUCGAUUUCUCAAUCGACCCUCAAUGAUAUUUGCAUGAAACCAAAGGCGCACGGAGUAGACAAAAAGAAAGGCAUUCAUCAAAGCGGUACAUCACAUUGUGGCAGAUAUGCAGAUGACGUGGUAGUAGACCUUGAUGAGCAAGAAGACGGAACAGAUGGCGUGGAACCUGUAGUUAAGCAGCUUGGUGUUGGUGAUUCAGCAGGAUUUAGGGUCCCUGACAGUGUUCCAGAGAGCUCUAAUCAACCGCGCGGCAGUUAUCCAACGGUUCAAUACCGUGACACAAGUGAGCAGGAUUGGGGUCAGUCAAGUGGAUCAGCAGUGCCUGUUGUUGCAAUCUUCCUAGAUCAUGAAGUGUUUGAGGAGCAGGGUGAAAGUAUAGGUGAGCUGAAUGAACUUGCUCACAGGAGAGGAAAGCAGAAAGUGAUCGAAUUGAGUGACGAAGAAGAAGACAGUAAUAGAGUGAGUAUCGAGCGACGGGUGUUUUCUGGACAACACAGUUAUCAUGGACUUGAAGGCCGGGCUAGAUCUAACGGAGAUGGUGGUGCCACGACUAGUGGAGCAGAGAUAAGCAGUGUUGAUGUAGCAGGGAGAUUUGCAGGUGCUGGACGCCAAUUCCCGUUGCCAGAGCAUCCCAGACUUGUGGAUUAUGAUGACAUCGAUGGGGGUACUGUGGAAAGUAAUGCUCCAUUCCAAGCCAGCGUUGGGUUAAACGCUGAUUUUGAGGGGCAAGCGAAAACCUACUACAGACGCCGAGGCCGUAAUCAAGGCAAAGCCAUUGCAGGAGAAGACAGCGGUGAAGAAGUUCGGAGGCCAACCACAAGGCGAGAUGGGGAAUCCAGUGAUGUGGACAGUCAUGAAGGACAGUUGGGUGGAGAAGUGCGACGUGAAGCAUCCCUCUAUUGCCCUGUCUGCUAUGAAGAGCUUGAACCAGAUAUUUCAAAUGAAGGAAUCAACGAUCACAUCGACAAAUGCCUUAGCCGGUUUUAGACUAUAUAUUGUGCUUUCGUUCCACGCUUGGUCGCAUAGGCUUUCUGACAGAAGAUACUACUCAUCGAGUCUCCUGAAGUUGAAGCACUCGAUUUUAUAUCAGCGGCAUUGGCUGGAGGAAAAGGUCAUUUUGCAUAUUCAUAUAUGCAAAUGCUUGCACCUGCAAAACCCCAAUUCAAUUAUCCAAACCUACAGGAGUCUAUUGAUUCACAUAAAGAAGGAUUUAGUGGGCGGAACUCAUGUUAGUCUCUGCAGUUGAGCCUUCUUGAUGGAUAAUUUGUAGGAACCUGUGACAAGUAGUUUGAAAGGCUGUUUUCACUGACCACAACGAUGUCUGCAUCAACUCAUCUCUACGUCAGUGUAAGAAGCUUGUGUUCUAGACUUGCUGCAACUUUUCAGCAACUCAAAAGUUGCCAUCUAGGGUUCAAAACCACUUUUAAGGUAAUGAGUGGGUUCCAGGUGGAGGGAGAGCAAGAGAGAAUAUAAAGAGCUCCCCAAAAUCAGGUUUUCUGAUCCAGUUUUUCCCUUUUCUUUUGAUAACACACGGCUUGCUUCCAAAA